GCAAACAUCUUGGCUUCAGACACUGCUUCCAAAUACACUGACUGUCAAUUACUUGUGAAGAUGAAUUUAGAAAAGAAUCAAAACAUUAACUACAAGGAGAAGAAUUAACACUGAGGGUCUGUGGAGUUGACUCUGAAUCUUUUUAUGCUACAAGUCACAUGGACAAGAAUGGGAAGUGUGCUUCACACACGCCCCUCCUUCCCCAAUCUGACGUGGAACUGAAAGCGUGAAGAGGCUAGUGGGUCCUGCCAAACGUGUGCCCACCUCAUGAAUUCCAGACACAGAAGAGAGAAUGCUGCAUUGGGGAGAAAGAACUGGAAGCAAAAGGCCACUAAUGAAUGAAGAAUCCCCUGCUGCCAGCUAUCAUAAUGGUCAUGCUUCUAAGUUCAAGAAAGGCUGUUGCUCCAGCCAAGCAUAAAUUGCUUCACCUGCUGGUAUGUACCCCACCUUAAGCAUUAUUUCUGGGGACCCUCACAGGAUUCUGAGUCUUUCCUUUAUAUACAUCUCACUACUCAGAUGCUGCUGUUGGAACUGAAGCGAAGCUAAACUGAGGUUUUUGACCAGGAAGGGGCUUCUUCUUGUUGGUCUGAAU
rnacentral:lncRNA from 1 species